CGACGUUUUAUUCCGCGCGAAAAGAUUAAUCGGUCGAGUCUUCUGCCCGCGCUUUCCGGCGGCAGACGUGUCCGUAAUAAAAAAAAACUAAAAAAAAAAAAAAAAAAUAGACGUACACAAUUACCACUAUAUUUAUUAUACCUUCGAUAUUCUCGCGAUUAUACACACGAAUUUAUACUUGUUAUUACGGAACACGCGGGUCCGCAAACCGUGAAACCUAUCCCGUCGUUUAUAUUCUAAUCGAUAUCAACACGCGACACAUCUCGUCGGUAAAGUGUAAG